AAUAAAGUGGUUUAUUAUCACAGAAAGAUUUCAUUUUUGUUGCAUAUUUCAAUUGGGUUUUCUUAUUUAAGUGUUGUUUGUUUGCAGGCUAAAUGAAAAAUGAUACACUCGUAAUUAUAAUUUCACACCCUAAUAGGAAAGGUUUUGUUUAUUUUCAUUAUUAUGGGAUUUUGGUGUUGGAAAGUUUGUAUCUUAAUUGCUUAAUAUGGUAUUGAUGAUUUUUAAGGUAUCUUAGCUUCUAUUCAUGUUCU
rnacentral:lncRNA from 1 species